AAGGUACUAGUAAAACCAUUACCCUGCCUUGUCAGAGCAGAAUCGCGGGUUAGACCCCUGCGUACCUUA
rnacentral:tRNA from 1 species